rnacentral:misc_RNA from 1 species
AACGCACAUUGCGCCCGCCAGUAUUCUGGCGGGCAUGCCUGUCCGAGCGUCAUUACAACCCUCAGGCCCCCGGGCCUGGUGUUGGGGAUCGGCGGAGCCCUCCGGGGCACACGCCGUCCCCCAAAUUCAGUGGCGGUCUCGCUGCAGCCUCCAUUGCGUAGUAGCUAACACCUCGCAACUGGAAGGCGGCGCGGCCACGCCGUAAAACCCCCCAACUUCUGAAUGUUGACCUCGGAUCAGGUAGGAAUACCCGCUGAACUUAA